rnacentral:rRNA from 1 species
UACGUAGGGGGCAAGCGUUGUCCAGAAUCAUUGGGCGUAAAGCGCGUGUAGGCGGCCCGGUAAGUCCGCUGUGAAAGUCCAGGGCUCAACCCUGGGAUGCCGGUGGAUACUGUCGGGCUCGAGUCCGGAAGAGGAGUGUGGAAUUCCUGGUGUAGCGGUGAAAUGCGCAGAUAUCAGGAGGAACACCAAUGGCGAAGGCAGCACUCUGGGACGUGACUGACGCUGAGACGCGAAAGCGUGGGGAGCGAACAGG